rnacentral:tRNA from 1 species
GGAGAUGUGGCUCAAGGGGUAGAGCACUGGCCUGGCAAGCCCAAGGCUCUGAGUUCAAAUCUCAGUCCU